rnacentral:rRNA from 1 species
ACGACGCCCAACCCUAUAAAAUACACUUUACACAAAACACUUAAACAUUAAAUUCUUUAUAAACUACCCGAUAAAAAGUACUGAAAAGGAAUAUAAAUAUUAACUCAAAGUAGUGAGAUAUCCACGUACCUUGUGCAUUAUGGUUUUACAAGCUUACAAUUAAAAAUAAAUUCCCGAAUUCUAUGCGAGCUGCUCGCAUAUAGCUUAGAGCCCACUACUAGUUGUGGCAACAACUUUAGAAAAUAUGCUAGCAGAGGCUACAUACCACACGCGCUAGAAAAUUCCUGGUUCUCAGUAAAAUUUAUAAAUUAAAACAUGUAUAAACAAUUACAGUGUAAGACUACAGAGGAUAAGCCCUGUAAUCCGAAGCCAGAUAGCACAUACAAAAAUAAUUAGGCCUAAAAACAGCCACCUGUAGUACUUUACCGUACCAACUAUAUAAUUAAUAAUAGUAACUGCCACAAUAAACUGAGAUUUAAGAAAAAUAUUAACCUUAAAAUAUUAUGUAAAAAUAAGUAUUAGAAAAUAAUACAGCUUUCAAUAUAAAAUAAACUAAAAAUAAACACAUAACUGCUUAUAAAGGAAUUCGGCAAAAAUUUAUUUCGACUGUUUAACAAAAACAUUGCUUCUUGAAUCCCAUAAGAAGUAAUCCUGCCCA